ACAGGAUUUUCAACUUCAAUUAAUUUUCACGUUUAAAAUAGAAGGGAUUUUAACUUCAAAAAAAAUUUUUAUUCUCAAAAUUAAGUUAAGAAUCACUCAAAAAUUUAUUUUAUCAUGGAACAUUGGAUAAGCUUGAGGAUGGGGCAUCCCACCUCAUGGGAUGUGAAAACUGUUUCUGUGCACAAAAACUGCACCCAUGCACAAAAAAAAAUUUUUGACUCAUGGAGACU
rnacentral:lncRNA from 1 species